rnacentral:tRNA from 1 species
ACUUUGGCAUAAUAGUGUGAUAGAUUUAGGAUCUAUAUAUGUAUUUAAUACAGGUGAUAUAU